GUCCCUCUUUGCGCCAUUUCACCGGAGAAGCAGUGACGCGUUUCACUAGGUCUACUAGCUGACAAAUGUAAUGUACCUCAAUGUAUUCCAUCCGUGCAAUUUAGACCUCAACGUUAAUUAGAUAUAAAAGAGCUGAAGUGCAUCAAAAGUGAUCUUCAAAGAUCAAGCAGUUUGAUCAACCUCUCUCCACAAAAAUAUGAACAUCAACGCACCAGAAUAUGCAGUCAAAUGAAAUGGCCAAGUAUAGAACCUGGUGGAUUUAUUGUUCGGCAGCAUCGUGGGAACCCUGAUAACAUAUCAAGAGCUGUUACAGAAGGCUGAGGAAGUGGCCAGAAACCAGUCCUGCUUCAGAGUAAUGGAGGACACUUG